rnacentral:rRNA from 1 species
UACGGAGGGUGCGAGCGUUGUCCGGAAUCACUGGGCGUAAAGGGCGCGUAGGCGGCGCGGGCAGUCAACGGUGAAAGCUUGGGGCUCAACCCCGAGUCGGCCGUCGAUACUCCCGUGCUUGAGCACUGUAGAGGCAGGUGGAAUUCCGGGUGUAGCGGUGGAAUGCGUAGAGAUCCGGAAGAACACCGGUGGCGAAGGCGGUCUGCUGGGCAGUUGCUGACACUGAUGCGCGACAGCGUGGGGAGCAAACAGG